rnacentral:rRNA from 1 species
UGCCAGACUCCUACGGGAGGCAGCAGUGGGGAAUAUUGCACAAUGGGGGAAACCCUGAUGCAGCGACGCCGCGUGAGUGAAGAAGUAUUUCGGUAUGUAAAGCUCUAUCAGCAGGGAAGAAAUAGCGACCUUUGGGUCGCCAGACGGUACCUGAUUAAGAAGCCCCGGCUAACUACGUGCCAGCAGCCGCGGUAAUACGUAGGGGGCAAGCGUUAUCCGGAUUUACUGGGUGUAAAGGGAGCGUAGACGGCAGCGCAAGUCUGAAGUGAGAUGCCGGGGCUUAACCCCGGAACUGCUUUGGAAACUGUACGGCUGGAGUGCAGGAGAGGUAAGUGGAAUUCCUAGUGUAGCGGUGAAAUGCGUAGAUAUUAGGAGGAACACCAGUGGCGAAGGCGGCUUACUGGACUGUAACUGACGUUGAGGCUCGAAAGCGUGGGGAGCAAACAGGAUUAGAUACCCUGGUA